GUCGCUUUGGGCAACUGAGGCGAUAGUGGCAAACGGGUGAGUAACACGUGGGUAACCAACCUUCGAGUGGGGAAUAACGAUCCGAUAGGUUUGCUAGUGCCGCAUGAGCUCCUUUCGUGGAGGUAGGGAGCUCAAGCGGUGUUGGGAGACGUUUCUGAGGGUCAUUAGGUAGUUGGGAGGGUGUAUUGGCCCCCCAAGCCGAUGACGGGUAGCUGAUUUGAGAGGAUGUACCAGCCACACUGGCUACUGAGACACGGGCCAGAGGACUACGGGAGGCAUGCAGUGUGAUCUUGUGAAUAACUCGAGUCUCCUGGAGAUCUGGG
rnacentral:sRNA from 1 species